UUGGCGGACGGGUGAGAAACACGUGGGUAACCUGCCUCAAAGAGGGGGAUAGCCUUCCGAAAGGAAGAUUAAUACCGCAUAAGCUUACAGCAUCGCAUGAUGCCGUAAGAAAAGGAGUAAUCCGCUUUGAGAUGGACCCGCGGCGCAUUAGCUAGUUGGUGAGGUAACGGCUCACCAAGGCCACGAUGCGUAGCCGACCUGAGAGGGUGAUCGGCCACAUUGGAACUGAGACACGGUCCAGACUCCUACGGGAGGCAGCAGUGGGGAAUAUUGCACAAUGGGCGAAAGCCUGAUGCAGCAACGCCGCGUGAGUGAUGAAGGCUUUCGAGUCGUAAAGCUCUUUGAUCAGGGAUGAUGAUGACAGUACCUGAAAAACAAGCCACGGCUAACUACGUGCCAGCAGCCGCGGUAAU
rnacentral:rRNA from 1 species